CACAAAAUUCAUUAAUUGAAGGUUCGAAUCAAGUCCAAAUUGAAAUCUGAACAUAGAUUUGUGAUCACCGUGACUAAGGGAUCGUAAGGCAACACGAGUGAGGCGUCGGGAAGUCAAGCCGGUGCGGACGCUCGUUUAAAGGGAAAGCUUUGAGCUUUCAAGUAAGUCAACCAAGCGGAUGGUGAUCAACGCAAGGCUUAUGAACCGAACACAUUCAAGAAGUAGUUCCGAAAAUUUUGUCUUAGAUGAUCAUUAGUAAUAAUUUUGUAAUAGAAGGAAUACUUAUGUAUCCUUUUAGUGUUGUGGUGGUUUUAAAACACUUAUGUGCUAAACUAGGAUUAAUAUUAAUGUUUGUGCUUUUAAUGAUUAUGAACUUUCUUAUUUA